rnacentral:rRNA from 1 species
AUUGAACGCUGGCGGCAGGCCUAACACAUGCAAGUCGAGCGGUUGACGGGAGCUUGCUCCCUGAUUCAGCGGCGGACGGGUGAGUAACACGUGAGAAUUUGCCUUUAGGAGGGGGAUAACGAAUGGAAACAUUCGCUAAAACCCCAUAUGCCCCAGGGUGAAAAAGAGGAAAAUAGUUAUACUGAAUUACCUCUGCCUGAAGAGAAGCUCGCGGCUGAGUAGCUAGUUGGUAGGGUAAAGGCCUACCAAGGCGACGAUCAGUAGCUGGUCUGAGAGGACGAUCAGCCACACUGGAACUGAGACACGGUCCAGACUCCUACGGGAGGCAGCAGUGGGGAAUAUUGAACAAUGGGCGCAAGCCUGAUCCAGCCAUACCGCGUGGGUGAAGAAGGCCUUCGGGUUGUAAAGCCCUUUUGUUGGGAAAGAAAUCCAGCUGGCUAAUACCCGGUUGGGAUGACGGUACCCAAAGAAUAAGCACCGGCUAACUUCGUGCCAGCAGCCGCCGUAAUAC